rnacentral:lncRNA from 1 species
GGCAUUUCCAUCUAUAACCCCAAUUUUUGUUGUUUUUUUGCUUGUCAGGACAGUGUUAAUCUGUGGCGUCUACUCUCGACCAGCAAGAACGACAUGACCACCAGUUCUUCUAACAGCAGUUUAUUCAGCAUGCUUCAAUCUUCAUCUCUCUCACUUCAUCUUUUUUUCUCCCCCGAACCCUGGGCCUCUCGCUCUUAUAUACUCUCAGCCCCCAUCCACUCACGGCAGGCGACGUCACCUCACCAGGCACGCAGCUUCAGCUAAUCAGGGUGGCAGGGGCACAUCUCCACCAAAUAUGGACUUAUCUACACCACCAGCAUCAUGGUGCACCUGCGCAGCUCUCAUGAUGGUCGUGGCUAUUUUCAGGUGUAUGAGGAAGUCAGGUGCAAGUCAUAAGACUUAGCUGCAGUCCCAGGUGCCAUCUUGGGACUGCUGCCACACCCACUCCUCUCAUCUCCCCCUUUUUUCUUUUUUGGCAGAGAGAAUGUCUGUCUUAGAUUGCACCCAACACAUACACCAAACACACAACACACACACUAUUACAAGCAUACAUCCCAGGGCUCCCAUCAACACUGAGGCAAGGGAUCAGUGCAACUACCAUUCACCCCACAUAACAACCAUACAUAUAAGGGGCACUGCCCAAGGUGGAAGGGAAUCAGGAACACUCCUACAAAAAGGAAGGGGGCCCAUCUAGGUUAGGAGGGUAUAGUGCCAUUGCCCUUGGAUAUACUGGCAGGUCACACCCCUCGAAUCCAGGUAGCAUUAGCUUUAGUAGAUACAGCUGAACACAAUCACUCAUCUGUGAAAUAUUUUGAAUCAUCUGAAAACACAACAAUCCCUUUAGCUGAAGCAGCAUAGAAAAAAAGGCAAUUGUAGUGAAGCAUUAGAUGUAAAGAAUUGAGGAAACACUUGAAUGCAUCAAUGGCAUUGAUUUCAGGAACAUAGACAUAAUUCCCCAAUGCAGCUCUUCAGUUCUCACUAGCGGGAGCAUUCCCAGCCACAGGAACAUCCAUGUCCUCAUAGCUCUGCUUGUUUUGAAUUGCUCUGGUCAACCGUUCUGGGACCCACAGCUGUUGUCGAUGAUCCUGAGGAAACAAACAAACAGACCCUCUCUCCCAAACCAAACAAUUGAUUCACACAUCUAUUUUCCUUUCCUUUCCUCUCUUUCCUUUCCUCUUUCCUUUCCUCUCUUUCCUUUCCUUUCCUUUCCUUUCCUUUCCUUUCCUUUCCUUUCCUUUCCUUUCCUUUCCCUUUCCCUUUCCUUUCCUUUCCUUUCCUUUCCUUUCCUUUCCUUUCCUUUCCUUUCCUUUCCUUUCCUUUCCUUUAACUUGUCCCAAAACCGGGAACCUUAUCGUCUCAAUCCGAGAACUUAAAUUGUCCCACUUACCCGGGAACCUUACCCUGCCAGCAAACACUGACUGCUCAAAGUUCUAAACUCAUUGGUGGGAGAGUCGGUUCUCUGUAUGGGCCACCAUUUGUCGCGUCAGCUCUCGACCAGCAAGAACGACACGAUCACCAGUUCUUCUAACAGCAGUUUAUUCAGCAUGCUUCAAUCUUCAUCUCUCUCACUUCAUCUUUUUUUCUCCCCCCAAACCCCGGGCCUCUCACUCUUAUAUACUCUCAGCCCCCAUCCACUCACAGCAGGUGACAUCACCUCACCAGGCAUGCAGCUUCAGCCAAUCAGGGUGGCAGGGGCACAUCUCCACCAAAUAUGGACUUAUCUACACCACCAGCAUCAUGGUGCACCUGCGCAGCUCUCAUGAUGGUCGUGGCUAUUUUCAGGUGUAUGAGGAAGUCUGGUGCAAGUCAUAUGACUUAGCUGCAGUCCCGGGCGCCAUCUUGGGACUGCUGCCACACCCGCUCCUCACAUUAACCUGUGUAUCUCUGGCAAUCCUGGAACUCAUUCUGUAGACCAGGCUGGCCUCUAACUCAGAAAACUCAGAGAUCCUCCUUCCUCUAUCUCCUGAGUGGUGGGGUUAAAGGUAUGCACCACCACCUGGCUCCUCUAAAUUGUUUUAAGUAUUAAAUUUGACUUAAUUUACUGUGUGUGGGUGUUUUUCUUGCUUGUACAUCUAUACCAUCUGUGUGCCUGGUACCCACUAAGGCCAAAAGAGGGCAUCAAACCCCUGAACUGGAGUUAUGGACAGUUGUGAGCUUCGAUGUGAAUGCUGAGAGCUGGACCUGGGUAGGCUGCAAGGUCAGUCACUGCUCUUAACCCCUGAGCUAUAUCUCCAGCACCUCCAAAGGUUUUAUUUUUUUAAGUGCUAUUUUUAUUAUUUUAAAUUAUGUGUAUGUAUUUGUAUCUGUGUGGAUGUUAUGUAUUUGCAGAGGUGUGAGGGCUGGAUCUCCUGGAGCUGGAUUUACAGGCAUUUGUAAGCCUCCCAAUUUGUGUUGGGAACUGAACGUAGGUGCUCUGGAAGAACAACAAAUGCUCUUAACUGCUGAGCCAUCUCUCCAGCCCUUCUAAAAGUUUCUUGUGUGCUUUUGCAGUCUGUUUCUCCCUUUACCCUGUCCCUAAGCACUGGUGACCUGUAACUGUACAGAGGUUUACCUGUUCUACAAUUUUAUAUAAAUUAAGUCACAUCUCACUCCC